UGUCACGAGAGGUAGGACAGAAAGUGGGAAAGAGAGGGGAUAUGCACGGAAGUACAGUAAAAUGAAUGAAAGGGAUUGCAGCUAUGGAUCGAAGGGAUUCUAUGCAAAGAACUUUUAUGUAAUGCCUAGAGUGCACCGCAUGAAGUGAUGUAAUGGGAAAAAUAUUCCUUUAAUUAUUAGUGAUUUAUUUAGGAAUUGAUUCAUUAUCGUCCUCUAAUAUCUUUACACUGCUGUUGUAAAAGUGAUUGGAACUGUGAAAUGUUUUCGUUUCUGUUGUGGACGAGUGUGGCAGUGUAGCCAGUCCCUUGUUUUGUUUAUCUUUCACUUUGAGUAUGGGAGCGCUGCCCUGAAUCUUUCGUCUGCAUUUUGGUAUCACUAGCAACCCAUGUAAGGAUCACGAAUGCUCUCGAGUGUGAGGACGUCAAUCGGUCCACCCUUUCAAUUUGGCUAUUUUACCAAAUUAAUAAUGCAAAUUAUUAUCUAUUCCUUGCAAGGGGAUCUAGUCCAGGGAUCUAGUCCAGGAGUUCUGAAGACCAUGUAAAUUAAUCAAGUCCAGGAGACUAGGCCUGGGAGAAAUUUGGUAUGAUGUAUUAAAUAAUAAAGAAACAAGCUGAA